rnacentral:lncRNA from 1 species
UAAGAACUAUAAAACGAAGGUAUUUCAAUAACGAAACAUGAAGGCGAAAUCAAUUAAACAUAAAAGCAUAAAUAAUAGAAGAGAUAAAAAAUAUUAUUACGAAUAAUUAUUUAAUUUCAUCUUCAUCCUAGAUUAAAGAAAUUAACUAGACAGGAAAAUAAAUAAAUUAACUAAAAUAAAGAAGAAGUAGAAGAUUGAAAAUAAAUAAGAAAACUCCCUUUAUUCACGAUCCUCCAACAAGCGUACAAUGAAAUUUAAUUUACUCCUACUCCUAACCUAAAGUAAUACAAUACCUCAUACCUUUCUCUCUAAAACAAGAGACCUAUUUAUAGGGAAAAUAACUUUGAACCCUAAUUUAGAUUCAUUGAACUUGGACACUUUUGUUCCCUUUCCAUGUAGGUUUCAAUUUCCUAGUGUCAAUCAACUUCUCAAAAAGAUCUUCUAGAUAAAGAGAUCUUCUAGAUUGACUUUCCUUUCUCUUGCUGGAUUUGACUUGCACACUAAAAUUGUUCAACCUCUUUUCUUCUCCUUGUCGGAUUCUUUUUGGAUAUUCCUUACAUGAAUAAGAGCAUUAAAUAUCGCUUGAUCACCAAGAUUUUGACUUUAUUGCAAAAAAAUAUUAAAUCCUACAAAAUAAAAUAAAACAUAUUAAUUUAAUAAAUUAAUAUAAUUAAAAGGACAAAAUUAGGGAUAAUAAAAUGUAUGAAUUACGUGUCUAUCAAAUACCCCCAUACCUAGCUUUUGCUCGUCCUCGAGUAAAAUAAAUAAAAAUAAAAAUAAAACAAAAAUUACACUACCCCAUUUUCGUAGGAAACACGAUUGCACUUAGCAUGUGCAACAAGCCUUUAAACCCCAAGGUUACCCCAAGUGGACGAGUUGUGUCUCGUGAGGGUUUGCAGUGAAUAUACCCACAAAAUUCAAAAAUAUUUUUGGAUUCAACAAAUUAUGAAAUUGAAAGAAAGCUUCUAAAUAUCUAUGGGCAUUAUACAUAAGCAAGAUUAAAUUCAAAAUCACACUUUCACUUUAUCAAAAAUACUCGAUCUUUAUUUUAGACACCAUCCUUCAUUAAAUCAAUUUCAUGUGAUGCAUGCAUUGUGUAUAUGACAUGACGUAACUCUUAGUAGGGAUUUUUAUCAUGAAAAUCAAGCAAGCUCAUUUUUUCCUUUUUCUUUCUUUUUUCCAUUUUUUUUCAAUUUUGAUUCUUGACUUGUGCAAUGUCUCAUUUUCUUAGGCUUUUCAGAGUUACCCAUGUAGAGCGAGCGUUGGACCAAUGACUCCCAAACCAGAUGGCUUUAGGGCACUAGGUGUAGAGACACCCCUAAGGAUUUACUAACUUGAGUAACAAAGUCCACAAAAUUAGACUAGUCAAGCUGCUUUUAUCCAUCACACUUUUCAGCGUGAAUAUCGAUGCUUCCCGAGGCUUGGAUACCUAGUUAUUUCGUUUAAUGGACAUUGAAGAAGUUAUUUAUUCCUUUUCUUCUUUUUUUUUUCAACUUCAUUUUUUUUUCAUUCCUUCUUCUUUUCUUUUCUUUUAUUUCUUUUUUUUUUUGAAAUUACUCGAAUCAUGGUUUAUACCCUACAACUAAGAAUUAGUGCAAACGUGAAGUGCAAAAAUGCUUGUGAAAUCAACUUUAAAUUCAGAUGGUGUUUUGAACUAAGAUUUCGUAUCUUAUCAAAAAUUCAAGAGUUCUAAAUCUUUCAAUCUCACUCAUGAGUUUUUCUCCACAAACACUUAUUAGAAUUAAUUUAAUUCAUAAAAAGUUAAACACAAUUUUUAAUUUCUUAAUUUUUUUGUUUUUUUUAUUUUUUUUCGUAAAAAGAAAAAAAAAAUCUAAUACAAACAAACUCCCCCCAUACCUAAAUCAUGCAUUGUCCUCAAUGUAUGCAAAUGAAUAAAAGAGAACAAAGAUGCGAAAGAAUUGUACCUUGUAUGCGGGGCAUUUGUUCUGCAAGAAGAUGUGGUGAGAAAGAAAACAAAUGUACAUAUCUACAAAUUUUAUAAAUCCUAAAAAUUAUGUGACUAAAAAUGAAUGUUACAAAUGGAUAAGUGAGUGUGAACUUUUCAUUAUUUUCAGGAGGUCUAGGAAAUUGAAAAUAGUCAGAAUUUUCAUCACAGUUAUGCUUCAAGUUUACCUCAAGAAAACUUUCAUUAACAUGUUCAAAUAAUGGAAGAAUUGGUUCAAAUACAUGUUCUAGUUUAGUUGACUUAUUUGUAGUGGAUCUCAACAGCUCGUUGACCUUAUCUAAAUAUUCGGAUUCAUUCCAAUUUUGGUUAAGGUAAUUUAAGAAAAAAUCAAUUGGAUCUUUUUCAAUCAAGAGUCUAUUUUCAAUUAUUUCUUGGGUCAUUGACAACUCUUGUAUCAUGUUUACUUUAAUGGGUUGGUCCAAAAAAUCACUAGGUGAUUUUUUAGGAGUAAGUCUUUCAGGGUAUGGAACUUUAGGCUUAUAGACUUUUUCAACCGACUCAUUAAAUGCAACAUGAUCAAUUUUAGGCAUAGACUCAUAAUUUUUAAACUCCUCAAAUUGACUUGACUCAAACUGUGUGGAAUUGAAUAUAAGAUUUUCAUUUUCCUCAUCAUUUCCACAACCAUUGAAACUUUCAAAAUUAACCUCAGAGUUACUAGAAAAUUCACUCACCUCUUGUUCAUUUAUUAUAGUGGCUAAUCUAUUCAUUUGAAUUUCUAGACGGGUUAUAACUUGAUCAAAGCUGAAUUGAUUUUCCAUUAAAACUUCCAUAGUUUUCUCUAAGGCACCAAGUCUUUCCUCUUCUUUAUUUGAUAAUUCUUGUGAAUAUUGAGGUUCUAGAUCCGAAUAUGGAUAUGGAUAUGAACUUAGAUAAGAAUUUUCAUAAGUUGAAAAACAUUGAUUUACUUGGUGUGCAUUAAAAUUUUCGUAGGAUUCUUGAUUCCAAGUAAAAUUAUUAUUCCAACUAUAGUAAGAAUUCAUUUUUCCACAAAUCACAAAACAAACAGACAACUAACCACGAAAGUCGUACAAAAAAAAAAUUAAAAAAAAAACAAAAAAAACUGAACUACUAUAUAAAUUAUUUUUUUUUAAAAAUAUGGAGAUACGAAGUACCGAAGAAAGCGCAGCAACAAAAUCUUUAUCUUUUCGCUACUUCGAUCCACUUCAAUAAUCCUGAAAAAAAGAGUUAAAACUAAUUCGAAUAAAUAAAAAUUAGGGAAUAAAAAAUUAAUUCUAGUCCCCGGCAACGGCGCCAAAAAAUUGAUGUGUUAAAAAUAUGUACUGCAAGUGCACAGUGUCUAAUUGAAGAACUGACAAGUACAGGUCGAACCCACAGAGACUAAAUUAAUUUUAAUGUUUCCUUAAUAUUUAUUUUAGGCGAAUUAGAAAUAAAGAUUGAGAAUUAAUUAACUAGAAUAUGAAAAAAAUUAAUAAGAAAACAAUCUAGGAAUCUGAAUCCACUAAAUAAUAAACAUAACAUAUAAUUCAAUCUCUUCUAUUUUUAUAACUCAAAUUAUGAUUUUGAUCUCCCUUCCCUUUAAUUUAGUAAUUUACAAUUAACGUGGGCAAGCAUAGACUAUGAAAAUUUAAGGAUUAACUAUAACCCAUCGAAACUUCUUUGAGCAAGCAUGGAUUAUGUAAAACUCAUAUCUUAACAAUAAUCUAUCAAGACCUCUUAAUUAAUUUAAAAUCACAUAAGAACUAUAAAACGAAGAUAUUUCAAUGACGAAACAUGAAGGCGAAAUCAAUUAAACAUAAAAGCAUAAAUAAUAGAAGAGAGAAAAAAUAUUAUUACGAAUAAUUAUUUAAUUUCAUCUUCAUCAUAGAUUAAAGAAAUUAACUAGACAUGAAAAUAAAUAAAUUAACUAAAAUAAAGAAGAAGUAGAAGAUUGAAAAUAAAUAAGAAAACUCCCUUUAUUCACGAUCCUCCAACAAGCGUACAAUGAAACGUAAUUUAAUUUACUCCUACUCCUAUCCUAAAGUAAUACAAUACCUCAUACCUUUCUCUGUAAAACAAGAGACCUAUUUAUAGGGAAAAUAACUUUGAACCCUAAUUUAGAUUCAUUGAACUUGGACACUUUUGUUCCCUUUCCAUGUAGGUUUCAAUUUCCUAGUGUCAAUCAACUCCUCAAAAAGAUCUUCUAGAUAAAGAGAUCUUCUAGAUUGACUUUCCUUUCUCUUGUUGGAUUUGACUUGCACACUAAGAUUGUUCAACCUCUUUUCUUCUCCUUGUCGGAUUCUUCUUGGAUAUUCCUUACAUGAAUAAGAGCAUUAAAUAUCGCUUGAUCACCAAGAUUUUGACUUUAUUGCAAAAAAAUAUUAAAUCCUACAAAAUAAAAUAAAACAUAUUAAUUUAAUAAAUUAAUAUAAUUAAAAGGACAAAAUUAGGGAUAAUAAAAUGUAUGAAUUACG